rnacentral:pre_miRNA from 1 species
AGAGGAAUAGCUGGGUCAAAUGGUGGUUCCAUUCCCAGAUUUCCAAGGAAUCUCCAUACUGCUUUCCAUAUUGGCUGCACCAAUUUGCAGUCCCAGCAGCAAU